rnacentral:rRNA from 1 species
UACAGAGGUCCCGAGCGUUGUUCGGAUUCACUGGGCGUAAAGGGUGCGUAGGUGGCUGGGAAAGUUUGAUGUGAAAUCUCCGGGCUUAACCCGGAAAUGGCAUUGAAUACUCUCCAGCUGGAGGUUUGGAGGGGGGACUGGAAUUCUCGGUGUAGCAGUGAAAUGCGUAGAUAUCGAGAGGAACACCAGUGGCGAAGGCGAGUCCCUGGACAACACCUGACACUGAGGCACGAAAGCCGGGGGAGCAAACAGG